AACGAACGUUAGCGGCGCGCCCAACACAUGCAAGUCGAACGCGACAGGGGCAACUCUGUCGAGUGGCGCACGGGUGAGUAACACGUAGGUAAUCUCCCCACGAGUGGUGGAUAAUCUCCCGAAAGGAGGGCUAAUACAGCAUAACACCACGGCUUCGAAAGGAGCUGAGGUCAAAGCGGAGGAUUGCAAGACUUCGCGCUUGGGGAUGAGCCGGCGGGCCAUCAGGUAGUUGGCGGGGUAACAGCCCACCAAGCCUAAGACGGGUAGCGGGUCUGAGAGGAUGAUCAGCCACACUGGAACUGAGACACGGUCAAGACUCCAACGGGAGGCAGCAGUGGGGAAUCUUGCGCAAUGGACGAAAGUCUGACGCAGCGACGCCGGAUGGGUGAUGAAGGCCUUCGGGUUGUAAAGCCCUGUGGGGAGGGACGAAUAAGUUUCAGCUAAUACCUGAAGCGAUGACGGUACCUCCUUAGCAAGCACCGGCUAACUCUGUGCCAGCCGCCGCCGUAA
rnacentral:rRNA from 1 species